CCAUCUCUCUCCUUCUCUAGCAGAGGCAGAAAGAAAGGUUUCCCAGCAAGGAAAGAGACCUCAUGGGGAGGCCUGGACUGACAAGGACCUGCCUGCCCUGAGGCAGGUGGGUCAGCCACUGAGAGGGAACCCAGGAGAUUGGUGGGAGAGAAAAGAAGAGGCAAGACUGGAGAGAUGGACACUGAGCUCCUGCAAGUCCUUCCUCUGUCCUCAGCUGCCCCAGCAGCUAUCUUGCUAUGUAGACUCACACUGGGAGAAACGGACACACCAGGAGCCCAUUCUUCCCUGCAAGCCUGCUCCCCCCCACCUGCCCUCUCUCUUCACUGCCCAGACCUGGCCAGGGAGCUGGGGACCUGGGCCUGACCCAUCACCUGGGUCAUGCUCUAAGGUGUCAUGUGGAAUCUCUGCUACAACGCUGGAAUGCAGAGAUGGUGGCUGAAGCUCAGGCAGUCAUGCUGGACCAUGAGGAGAAAGGCCCUUGCUGAAGCUGUCACAAGAUCGAAGGAACUGCAGAACACUCUUGCAUCCCAAGACCAACUACCUGCAGACUUUUAAAUCAGAGAGAAAUAAAUUUCUAUCUUGCUUAAUCUGCUAA